CAGGUGAUCGACAUCCUGCGGGGAAAAGCCUCGAGACCCCCCCAGGACCCCCCGGGACCCCCCCCACGGCAGAGCAUCGGAAGCCACGCCCGCUUCCGCGUCUGCAGCCAAUGGGGUGGAAGGGGCGGGGCCUCUACCGUCGCUGAUGGGAGCGCAGGGAAGCCCCGCCCAGCAGCGGAGCAGGGACCAAUCAGAGGCGGCGGAGGGGAGGCCCCGCCCCGUGGCGCCUCAGAGGCUCCGCCCACGAGAGGGGCGGGGCCAGGGAAGCAUUAAUGGCGCGCCGCCAGGGGGCGCCAACGGCGGGCCGGCGUGAGGGGAAAUAAAAAAAAUAUCGGAGAAAAA